GGAGAAAACAAUGUCAGGGUUUCUGGUUUGUACCUCUGGUUCAUUGGUUGUGAGGGAACAUGAGGCAGGGUAAAGUUUAUCCAAGUAAAAUGAGUUAGAUAUGUAGACUAUCUGGGUGUAUAUGCAAAGACUGCAGACAAUCAAUACUAAAAUCCUGGCUCUGCCUCUUGAAAGCUAUGUAGUUUAGGCACAUAGUCAAAAUCCAGUUUCCUCAUCUAUGUGGUACGCUUCAAAGUAGUUAAUCAUGAUACGUAGUCCAGUGACUGGUUCCUCUGGUAAGAGCUGUGAUAAUGACACAAGGAGGAGAGGUUUCAGGACAGACUUGGGAUUCAUGAAUAUAUAAGUGGUCACUGAUUCCCCAGGGGUAGGAUGAGCACUUCUGUCAGACUGCCCGCGGCUUUGAGAGCCCUUUGGUUACAGUCCAUGAGGUGCUCAGAGGAU
rnacentral:lncRNA from 1 species